UACGUAGGUGGCAAGCGUUGUCCGGAUUUAUUGGGUUUCAAGGGUGCGUAGGCGGCUUUGUAAGUCAGUGGUGAAAUACGGUAGCUCAACUAUCGAGGUGCCAUUGAUACUGCAGAGCUUGAGUACAGAUGAGGUAGGCGGAAUUGACGGUGUAGCGGUGAAAUGCUUAGAUAUCGUCAAGAACUCCUAUAGCGAAGGCAGCUUACUAGGCUGUAACUGACGCUGAGGCACGAAAGUGUGGGGAUCAAACAGG
rnacentral:rRNA from 1 species